rnacentral:lncRNA from 1 species
UUUUUUUUUUUCUUUUUUUUUUUUUUUUCCCUUUUCCUGCUGGUGAAUUUUCUAUAAGCUAAAUUUACAAUGGCAUUUUGAGAUGUUUCCUUUUCUCCUGUUCUCCUCCUAUAGAGCUCAGAGGCCAAAAUGAUUGGAAUGGAAAACUGUGGUUGCUGUUACAAUGUUUAUUCUAAGAAUCUUAUUUUACUAAGUAUAACCAAAAAUCAAAUAAAACUGGUACUUAUCUGGCUGGCAGCCAUUAAAUUAUUGUCUUUUAUCCUCUUAAAAAGAGGUAAAUCUGGGUAUAUGUGAUUACUAUCUAGGUAGCAUCUCACUAACUGCCAGCUUUUCAGAGCUGGCUGAAUGAAACAAAAUUGUGAGGAAAAGUAUAGGGAGGGAUCCUAUUCUGAGGUGAGGAAAUUAUGUAAAUCAUUCUACUUGGCCCAUCUAAACUUUAUAGAAAAGUUUAGAAGGGAUUUCUCACUUAUCUAUCACAUUUGGGAUACGCUGAGAAAUUGCUCGCUAUUCUUUGCCAAGCAUAACUGUCUCCACAGAAGCAGAAGGAAAUAUAUCUACCCUUCUGGCUGAACAGAAGUGAACUUCUAAUCUCUUUGGCUUUUCCUGACCAGUAUUAGGAAUUAGCAUGUUAAGUCAGCCAAGAAAAAUCAAUACAGGAGCAAGAAUACGAAUAUAUUUAGGCAUCCUGGGCAGAAAGCAGAUGGUAGACAACAUCCCUAGCACAUAAAGCAAGUAAUAAUGAUUACACAGCAACACUGUCCAGUCCAAAGACGGACUUGAAAGUCUGUCCUUGAACUGAGUACUAACCCAUGGUUGCCAGAUCAGGUCUCCCCACUGCACAACCAUGAUGUUUCAGCACUGUAUACAAUUAGCAUCAGUCCCUUUUGUCCUGCUGCCCCUCUAACUGCAAAAAUAAACUCUUGCCCACAGCAUGCCUUAACUUUUUGAGUAGUGUCUAUGUUGUCCCUGUUUAAAACUGUCACAGUGCACAACAGUACAUUUUUUAGGCAGAACCGAGAUACAAGUAUCCAAUGUCCCUUCUCCUUUCUGGAUGGUCCAUGAAAAAUUAAGGUGGGAGUUUCAUCAGCACAGUGGCAAUUAGGUGCAAAACUUACUUUGGCUAUCACUCUGAGUUUAACACCUGAACGCAAACUGUACUCUGGAAAAUCUUCAUCUCCUGCUGCGUUAUCCUAUGGGACAGCAGCCCCGAAGUGACAACUGAGAGGCAGCCCACUUGGCAGAACAUGCCUCGCGAUGGCUCCCUCUGUACAGAGUGCUAACAGAAACAUUGUUCAUGUUCUGCAAUCUGAUUAAUGACAGGCAUCACCAAAAUCCUCUGGUUUUGAGCCAGCUAACUUAUUCUGUGGUCCCAUUUGAGAUACAUUUUAGAUCUCAAACCACCACUCCUUAGUAGAAGUACAACACCC